rnacentral:lncRNA from 1 species
UUUUCUGAGAUCAGCAAACAACUCUCCUCUCCUCCUUCCUAAACCACCCCCUUCCCGCUCACUCCCCCCCAACCCCCGCCCAUGCUACGCUGUGGAGAAGGAGGAAGUUUUGAGUAGGCAUCCAAAGUCAACAGGGCACAGUGAGAAGCUCUUAUACUGAGUGACCUGGGAUACAUAGACACUCUCAUGGGUCCUUGACAUCUGUGCUCCAUUGCUCCAAAAGCCAGCAGGAGUCUCAAGGAGAGAAACAUGAAACCUCAUGAAACUCUAUGCAGGAAAACACCUGACCAGAAAACAAGGUUAUUGUCAGGUCCAGAGGAAACCCAACUUCCCCAAAUUCCAAAAGGCAGCACCCAGAAAUGACCAUCUUGACUCAAGGUCUGCUGAAGGAUACUGCCAGCGUUCCUGAGGAACCCAUGAAAGAGUUUCUGUCCACCAGAAAGAGGGCCAGAUAUGGAUCUUCUGCA